UGGAGGGUCCCCAUCAUCCCCGCGGGGCGCACUAGGAGUUUUGAAAAGUACCGCACAACUGGCCACCGGAAUAAUUCAUCCCCUCCACCUUCUCUUUAGCGCCUCCCACUUCUUCUCUUUUUAUAACAGUUUCUUUCUCUCGAAAAAUCUCAGGUUACUUGACUGGGAGUUCUCAGACCUCCAGUUUCAGCCCUGCCCUCAGCCUCCAGUCGUUGAGAGAGAGACACCCAGCCGCAGCAAUCGGAUUGGGCAGCCCGCCUUGACACACCACUGUGCUGAGUGCUUGAAGACGUGUUUCACCAGAUGGUUGGGGUUAGCGUGUGUCAUCACAUUCGAGUGGGGAUUAGGAGUAGGAAGGCUGCCUUGCCGGAGCUGUGUGGUCUUCUCCAAGGGAGAAUUGCGGGCAAGAGAACUCCUUUGCUCCGGGGAGAAGAGGAGGAAUUCGUUUUCCGCAGCCACGAGAAAAGCAGUGUCUUCAGGUGCUGAUGGCCAGCCCCAUCAUCUGAAGGUGAAUUUGGCGAAUGAUAUGCAGGUUCUCCAGGACAAUCACAGAAAAUCGUCAAAGGACCCCCUCUGCAGAUGUCCUGAACACUUUUGACUACAGCAAUUGAUUCUUCAACCAGGAUACCUAAUUCCAGACCUGCAGGAAUCAGGAGACAGACAUUUUCUCAGUUUU
rnacentral:lncRNA from 1 species